rnacentral:misc_RNA from 1 species
GACAAAGGGUCUUUAGCACGAGCGCACUGAUGCGGAAUAUUGGUUCAGUGUACAGUCAGCCACAUGUUUCAAAUUCAGAGAAUGGCUGAGGAACGUUUAUGGUUUAUAUUUCUGUGGACGUCCAUCUUAGCCACACAAGCUGGCCCCGCCGGAAGGAACUAUUUUAACGCUCUCGAUAUUCGAAAGAGUCAACAACACCCUGGAAGGAGUAUUCCAGACUGGUGAGAAGAAGGCAACAAACCCAGACAGAAUGAUGGUCCACUUUCCAAAGAUCAUGUUCACAGAAACAGAACAAGUCCAGUAUGAGAGCAGCGACAGCCACUGUGGGGUCUUUUUAAUUUCUUCAAUUGCUGGAACAAAACAUCUUGAGCUUCGUGUUUGGAAUGUUUCUGUUCACCGUGUCGACAGGAAGUGCCUUGCAUAUUUUCAUUUCAUGGCUCACAAGACAAGACAGCUAUACAAAGUACUUUAUAAUAAUACGUGUCAAAGAAUAAUACAGUGAAAAUAAAUUUCUGCCCUAUCCGUCCCAUUUCA